rnacentral:rRNA from 1 species
UACGAAGGGGGCUAGCGUUGCUCGGAAUGACUGGGCGUAAAGGGCGCGUAGGCGGCUUACAUAGUUAGGAGUGAAAUUCCUGGGCUCAACCUGGGGACUGCGUCUAAUACAUGUAGGCUUGAGUGUGAAAGAGGGUCGUGGAAUUUCCAGUGUAGAGGUGAAAUUCGUAGAUAUUGGAAAGAACACCGGUGGCGAAGGCGGCGACCUGGUUCAUUACUGACGCUGAGGCGCGAAAGCGUGGGGAGCGAGCGGG